UUACUGCUCUCUUUAUCUCAAAAUUCUUAUCUUAUAUUUGUCUAAAUACGGAUGUAUUAAGUCAUGUUUUAGUAUUAAAUAUAUUCGUAUCUAGACUAAUCUAAGAUAAGAAUUUUGGGACGGAGUGUGUACUAG
rfam:Triticum aestivum genome assembly, contig: Triticum_aestivum_CS42_TGACv1_scaffold_001782_1AL